rnacentral:lncRNA from 1 species
ACUUCCGUCUGCGUGGGGCCCACAUCCUGGAGCGCCCAGGCUUCCGAGGGGCAGACGGUGGGACCUGGUCCGGGCUGAGGUCCUGGCGGGUGAGCAGGAUCUUCGCCGUGCGGCGCAGAGGGUGACAGUGGAGAAGGUGACCAGAAGCCAGAAGGAGCCUAUGUGAAAGAUUAUGAAAUGAUGGAUCCAGAGCAUACAAAUAGCAUGGCCUUGAAAAAUGCAUGGGUACAGAUCCGGAGGAAUGCCAGGACCCAGGACUUCUCCAUGAAGACUUUCUAGACUUGUCUAUUCAAAGAUAAUCAUUCCCAACGGCAAACAAUUC